AACGUUAGUUCGCUCUCUUUGUUCAGCGAAGUUUUGUGUGUUGGCAGUAUUGCGUUGCAACAUGUCCUCUUCAGAAAGUUGCUUUGUGAUUGCAGGCGUAGACUCCCGUCUACCUCAUGAUGGGUGUGCUGGAGCACGUGGCUUCGCAUGAUUUGCUCCAUAGGCGUUUGUAGCCUACGUGUUGAACGUCUGCAUUUGAUGAAUCAAUUAUAAAUUGCAGUAAACGCGAUGAAGAGUUAAGUUGGCGAUUUCAGAGAUGGUAAGAAUGAAGUUCCCAACUGCAAAAAUGUGGUGGCCUCCUAAGAGAUGUAAGAAGACAGAAGUCCCUUUGGUGGUAUACAUUUUGGAAUAUGAUCUCCGGCUUCUGCAUGGAUGCUAAUGUGCAAAUGUAACUUUGAAACUUUAAAUGGUGUUAGAGUUCUGAAUGAGUUGCUAUUUAGAUGUUUGGAUGAAUGUCUUUUUCAAUAAAAGUGUGAAACCGUAACUUGUGAUGUAUAGCUAUC